GUGCUGGCUCCGGCAGCACGUGCACUAAAGCUGGAGCGAUGUAGAGAAGAUCAGCAUGGCCUCUGUGCAGGGGUCACAGGCAAAUUCGUGAAGCGUUCCAUGCUCUU